UUUCAAUUUUUUAAUCAUGCUUUAAAUUCUGAGAAGCAUUUAAUGAUCCAUUAAUGUAAUCAUUUAAUUAUUUAAUUUUUAAUAAAAUCCUAAUAUGUAAUAUUUUAUGACUGAGAAGCACAUUGAUAUGUGUGUGUGUGUGUGUGUGUGUAAUGUCACAGUGUCUAAAACUGUGAUCUGUGGUUAUGUGGUUUAAGUGUUGAUGAUCGGAGCUGCAUAUUUAGACAAAGGGUGCGUGUUAACAUCAAUAACCCGUAAAAUAAAGAUAUCCUAUACUACUAAAUCCAGAUAUUUUGUAUUAUAAAAUAUGACACUGUUUGCCUUCAUUUGGUACGCUUAAUAUCUCCUAAAACCAGCCUGAUUUUGGAAACCCAGCAUCAAUGUUAUGGAAUUUUUGUCAUGAGAGCUACUUCUGCUUCCCACAUUAACAUCAGUACUUUUUUGGUUAAGAAGAAGCUAUUGAGUGUUAAGACUCAGUCGCUGUCAUUGCUGUAUCUCAGAAAGCUGUAGUCUCUAAUCUAUCACAGCAUGAACUGGCUUUAUAUCCUUUUAUUGGCCCUUUGGUCAGCUUUCAGUAAGUUGAUUACAUUUCUUUGCCUAAGAUUUUGUGUCUAUAUAAAAUAUAUUCAAUAUAAUGUUUGGUGUGUUUUUGUACAGAUUUGUCUGAUGCAGUGUACUGGAAUUAUCCUACAACACCAGCACCAACAACAUCUUCAAGUCUUUGCUGGUACUGGUACAACAGACCAUGUAACUGGGCCACUACUCAAACACCAUACAGGAGGAAUGUGUAUUACCAGACGCAGAAAGCUCAAACUCCCUACAGGAGGAAAGUGUAUUACCAGACGCAAAGUCAGCAGAUUUGCACUUUUUUUAAUUAAUAAACAUUAGGGUUGCACGACUACUGAUUUCUGCUAGUCGAUUACUUAUUUUAAAAAUACUCGAGUUACUCGACUACUCGUGGUUCAUGCUACUGUAAAUUAAUAGACAUGAAAUAGUUUUUAUCAAUAAACGUUUAUUAAUUAACUAAUUAAUUAAUAGCCUAAUGCAACAAUUACAUAACAUACGUUAACUGUCAAAACUUUAUAAUUAUGACAUCACAUAUUUUAAUUUUCAUGUAACAGCCAGUAUUUGUAUCUGUAACAGUCACAAAAUUAUUAGUAUCGGUUUUUCGGAUAAAACCAGGUGUCGUACAGUUAGUUGAUAAGACCGUCAUGACUAUCUUUUUUUCACUGAACAAAUAUGCUUUGUUAAAGUGAAAUAAUUAUUAAUUUCUAAAAAUAAAUUAAUCAUAUAAGCAGAGACAUCAUGACAAACGUUUAGUGAUCAUUUGAACACGACUGAAUGAAUUCAAGGCGCACAUUUUCAUUACGCAGAAUUCUCUAAGCGAGUCUUUUUGAACUUACUAAACAAAUGUGCGUGUGCCACGCAAACCAGCAAAAGAUAAAGAAGCAAAUAAAGAAAAUCUAUCUGCAUCUAAGUUAGCCUACUUUUAAGAGAGAGAACUGGUUUGGUUUUUGAGAGACUGAGGCGCGCAACGCGGCUGUUUGAUUGGUGAACGUGCUGUUUAUUCCAUUCAUUCAUGUAUCAUUUCGUAGCCUACGAUUUAAAUCAUUGCCUUUUAAAUAUAUACAAAUAAUAGACCAUUUAUGAUGUAUUAUUAUAGGUGAUAUUACUUUCGCCAAGCUCUGAUUUCUGAGAGAUGCACGAAGAGGCAACACUAAUGCGGUGUUUGAUUUGCGCUCUUUUUGUUCAUAAAGUUUAUAUUCAUUCAAUUCACACACUCAUUAUUGCGUGACUUUUGAGGUAUGUGUAUAAUAUUGCGCUGAUCCCCUGGCUCAACUGUUAUAGCAAACAGCCGUGUGCCAGCCUCAGCCGAAUGUUCAGGCAGAAUUAUUCCUUAUCCGUUAUUCGUUUUUGAAGUCAUUAUCCGUGCCAUUCCGAAUAAGGUAUUCGGCUUCAGGCACACCCCUAAUUAUUAAAUUACAUAUUUUAAUUUUACAUGUAACGUAGAGAAAGUGAUAGAAAGUAACAGCUACACGCAAUAUUGUGAUUCUACAAUUUGCGUUGUAGGCAAACUGUGCAUGCAUUAUGGUUAAUGCACGCUCCAGUAGUCGAUUGUUUCCGACAAUGCCGACUAGUGGUUAAAGUAGUCGAUCACUCGACUACUCGACUAGUCUAUGUAACCCUUUAACAUUACUAUUUAAUCUAGUAAAUGUUAAAACUGUGUAAAACACUCUUUAUGUUCUUAAAGCUCAAGCCACCUCUUAGAGGAAACUGUAUUACUAUGUGACAAGUCAGUACAUUUACAGUGUUGUAUAGAUGCAUAAUUAGUGCUGGCCAACGAUCAAUCAUGAUUAAUCGCAUCCAAAUUCAUAUUCAUAUAAUUUAUAUUAAAUACAUGUAAAUUUUUCUUAAGUAUAUACAUGCAUGUGUGUAUAUUUAUAUAUACAUAAUAAAUAUACACAGUACACACACAUAUAUUAUGUACACAAAAACUUUUAUUUUAGAUGCAAUUAAUUGUGAUUAAUCGUUGCCCAGCACUAAUAUUAAUGCAUUUAUUUCAUCUUAAUAUUGCUCUUAAAAGUUUUUUUUUCUUAUGAAAUGUAUAAGGUCACUUUAACCCCUACUUUUUACAAUAUAAGUUAAGUUACUUUUCUGACAAAAUACUUAAAUUCUCAGUUAUACCCACAGACUAACACUCUAUGUGUACACUCAUUUCCCCCGGGGGUGUGUGUGUAUAUAUAUAUAUAUAUAUUUAUAUAUAUAUAAAUAUAUAUAUGCAAAUUCAUUCUCUGCCAGCAGGAGAAAUAGAGGUUUCCCUGGUAACACCUGUACACAUAGCAGUGCUCCGCUCACAAAUGCUGCUUUAUCAGGCAUUACAUUUUUAUGUGUUUUUAUAUCACUGUAUUUCAGAAGGAAACCGACUGUUUUGAGAAAACUUUCGAUGUAAUUUCAUUUAAUCUUGCUUGUAAUGCCUGAUAAAGCAGCGUUUGUGAGAUUAGCACUGCUUUGUAUACAGCCGUUACCGGAGAAAUCUCUAUCUCACCCGCUCUUAAAGCGCCUCCUGUUUGGAGAAAAUGAAUUUACAUAUAUAAUAUAUAUGGGGGCGGGGGAACACUGGGUUCUGCUGACUUGACAUUUAUGUAAGCUAAGGUCAUUUCGGAAGUUUUUCUUUUAUAUUCGUUUCUUAUUUAUUUGGUUUUAUCUCAUUUAAACUUUGUGUAAUUUAUUUAGGGCUAUUUUAUUUUCUUACUCGUUUUAAAAACGUUCCAUGGUAAGCUAUUUAAAAGCAAGGAAAAGAGGACCCCUCCCCCCCACUUAGGCAUGGGCCGGUAUGAGAUUUUGACGGUAUGAUAACUUAAGCAAAAAAUAUCAGGGUUUCACAGUAUCACUGUAUUGUUGUUACAACUCUGAAAUGUAUUAUUUUUAAAUGACUGGGUAAAAAUAUAUAUAUAUAUUUUUUCCCGCUGGACACAAUAUAUUUUGUUUAUGAGCAACAUACAGAAUAUUAGAAACAGUAAAAUUUGUUUUUUUUUUCUUUGAUGUUUCCUAAAAAUAAAAAAUUAAAGACUGACAUCUUUAUUUAACCUAAAUCUGUAAUUACAGUUAUCUAAUUAUAGUUAUAUAAUUCAUAUACAAAUCAUUUAUAUCAUAUCAUAUAAUUUAGUUAUAAAAUAAUAAUCAUACACAUAAUUUGAUUUAAUAAUAACCCAGUUUGAAGCAAAAACAGAAGGUUCUGACAAGCUUUGUGAAAUUAUACCACGUAAACUUUUCAGAAGACAGUCAGCUCCCCUAUGGAAGCAUAUGGGUAGCAAUAUUCAAUUGGGAAUGUAAUAUGCAAAAUGACAAUGCAAUAUGUAAAAUGGCAAUGCAUUUCUGUAUUUGCAUUUACAUUUUCCAAUACAUUUGUGCAACGUUUGGUGCAAAAUGAAAAUGAAAAUGUAUUUAUAUAAUUUUCAUUUGCCAUUUCAUACACUAGUUUUAAUAUGUAAAAUGAAUAUUCAUUUUAACGCUUUAUAAGUUGCAAAAUUAAAACGAAAAUGUAUUACAGAAAUUAUUUGAUAUGUGUAACAUGUUCAAGCAAAAACUGUGGCAAAAUUAUCAUUCAAAUGUUAUUUUUCUUAAUUGCAUUUACACUCACAGUCAAGACACUUACGAUUGCAUUUCCAUUCAAUGUCCCGCAAUGAAUGUAGCAAAAUUCAAUGUGCACGUUGAAAAUGCAUUCCGAGCCGAUCACGUGUCCGCCCCCCCGCGCGCCAUGUCAAUCACUGCGUGAACAAGGCGGGGCUUGCAGAAGGUCAAGAGACUCAAAGACCAGACUCAA
ensembl:lncRNA